GUUUCACCACACGGUUUUGGUGCUGUGCCCCGCAAGGCACAGGUAAAAGGGAAGAAGGUUAGAAUCCUUCGCUGUCCCGCAACUGUAACAGGUGAUGAACGCCGCUACGUAAGCCACUGGAAAUAUCCGGGAAGGCGCGGUUAGUAAGAUGACCCUGAAGCCAGGAAACCUGCCACUCCGUUUAAGUUUUG
rnacentral:ncRNA from 2 species